CUAAAGUCCGUCCAGAGCUCAGCAGGCACCAGCACCAGGCUCUUAGACCUCAAGAACUGUGGGCUAAAUAAACUUCUUUUCUUUUAGAGUAACUAGCAUCAGCAAGAGAAUAUAAUCAUGCAUAUAGGAAUGAGGACGAAAGGAAUAUCUGCAUAUAUCAUGAAAGUUAAGUUAUUUCUCCAUGGCUCCACUAUUGUUUCCUCUGGUAGCUG